UACAUGCAUAUUAGGGAGAGCUUUCAAUCGCUACAUCAGGUUAUUCUUCUUCUUCCACAACUUCACCUUUUCACUUCAAAAUCACGUACAUCUUCAAUUGAAUAUAUGGCUUUAUCUCGAAUGCUCUUUAACUGUUUGUUAAAAUGUUUCUUCCAACUGUUUGUGUAGAUUUGAAUAUUCUAGUGUGUUUUCUGUUUUUGGGACACAGGGCACUGUAAAUAUACGUGAGUUCACUUUCUAAAUGUAUAGAAUGUUGAGAGUCACACAUGGCAGGAGAUAGUAAUAUCAUAAUAUGGUCUUAAUAGUUUAGAGCAAUGUAAGACUUUCAAAAUUAAAACAACUCAAAAUAGAUUCUAAUUCCGUAGUUGACCUAAUGUUAACAAUACUAUUUAUUUUUCAAUAGUGAAGUGUUUCUAAAUUUGAUUCAGAAUUGAUCAGAUAAAGAAAAUCAAUGAAAACAAGAAUUAUUGAAUAACCAUAAGAAACUUCAAUUAAUGUUUCUCCUUCCGUUGGAGAGGAGUCAAAUAGCUAGAGGUACAGGAAGACUUGGAAAAACUAUAAGAGAAGAUAUUAAGAAAGAUCUUGAGAUUAACAAUUUGGAUAAAAGCAUUGUCCUGGAUAGAACAUUAUGGCCAAAGUUGAUCCAUUUGGUUGUUGUCGUUGUUAGAAAAGUGUUGCUCCCUCUAGCUCAAUUAUAGGUACUGAGAAUUUGUCCCGUUUGAAUGAAGCAGCUGAUUCAGCUAUAGUUGGUUUUCUCAAUACUAUUAAUGUCGCUGUUCCUCCAAUCCAUCAACAGAUGUAAUUCUUUGAAAUUAUCUCUGAUCUCCCUCAACUUAGCCAGCCAAUCAUUCCACUUCUAACAAAACCUCUGUCCUUACUAGUUCAAACAUGAAAAAUCCUGCUAAACCCCACAAAUUUUACAACUGCAUAUUGACUGGUUUUGAGUCCAACCCCAGUACCACACAAUACUUGGGGAUUUCUUGAACUGUUGAGUUUAAUUGUCGGACCAGCUUGUCAUCUAAGAAUUUAUGAAAUGCUCUUAUUGUCAACCAAAACCCUCGCCUUUUCCUUCCAUUGUUACUCCUCCACAAAUAUCAAGAACCCAAGAUCCAUCUAGCACUAUAUACAAUGAAAGAUAUACAAACUUGUACUCCAGCUAUGUGCCUUCAUGUGCUCUGGUGAGUCACUUACCUCCUUUCUCUCAUCACAUCCAAAAGACUAAAACAAAGGCCAUGUUCCCUUUUACCUUACAACUCAGCUCCCGAUAGUGUUCUUGCUCCCCCAAUUCUACCAUUGCACAUUACUUGAGCUGCCUCUAUCUGAGUUACUUCCUACACUUCUUUUCUGACCUUGAACCUGGUUGUUUCCUUCAUAUCUAGCUAUCCUAGAAGGAUGAACCCGUGACAUUACUCCUAUCUUUCCUGGUAAGCCGUAUUUCUUUGAUUAGAGUUUGAUUCCCUUCUUGAAAUAAUCUGCACCAUUUACAUCAUCAUUGCUGCUAACACUUCUUUCCUAAGUAGUUUCGUGUCUUCUCUGAUUUUCUUCUUUCAAGCCACUAAGGAUAAUUCCCUGGUUGUAGUAGGGCUUCCACCUGUUGAAAUGUCACACAUAGUCACAACAAGAUGUUUGUAUGUUUCCAUUGUAUUCAAUGAAUUCAGCUUUUUACCUUAAGAAAAGACGAGAACCAAUGGCAUGAUAAACUUUGAGGUUAUUGCAGUUAAUAUAUGAGUUUCCUUCCUUUAGCAAAAUUAAAAGGAAAGGUUUGAAAAGGAAACUUCUUGGCUUUGAUAGAAGCUCUGAUUUUAGUGUAUAUAACAAUAACAUGAAAAAUACGGUAACCGCAAUGGUUAAAGCCUAGACAUUACCCAUGUUUGAGGAAUUUCAUUGUUUUUUUAUUCAGUCUUGAUCAAAAUACAUAAUGAGAUCCUAUUGGAUGUUGAUCUUAGAAAUAAAUCUUGUCUUCCACUUGUAUAGUGAUGACAUAUGUUUAAAAUAAGAAGUAUGUACUUCAUUUUUUCCCCUAAAACAAUUGUCCCAACUAACUUAUUUACAAACUAAAACUUUUCAUAUGAGGGCAUUUGGUCUAGUGGUAUGAUUCUCGCUUUGGGUGCGAGAGGUCCCGAGUUCGAUUCUCGGAAUGCCCCUUUUUCUUUUCUAUUGUUUUGAAGCUCUGGAAGGUUAUGAUUGUUAACUGUUUAACUCAAUAUGACUAAGCAACAUAUUUACUUUUAUAUUUGUUAAAGAUAUGGAAACUGACAAGCUUGACUUGUUUUCUGGUGUAUUGAUUAAAUAACAAUUAGGCAAGAUAUGGAAACUGACAAGCUUGACUUGUUUUCUGGUGUAUUGAUUAAAUAACAAUUAGGCUUCAGGGACUGCAUGUGAAUGCCUUGAGAUGAAUACUGUGUAAUACAUGAAUAAUGUAUUAGUCGAAACUUAUGUCCUAACAGAAUGACAAAUAUUUUCGUUUAAUAAUAAUGUAAAAAAGUUGCAUUGUUGUUUGAAAUGAAGUAUUGGAGGUAAAAAGCCAACAAAAAAAAUACUCAGUGUAGUACUGUAGCAGGAUUGAGGUACACGAGGAUGAUGCACUUCAUAGGCGACGCCAACGUCCGGCUAGCUAGGGCAGUUGCCCGGGCUCUCAAAUUUUUAUGGGUUUUGGUAGUAAUUGGAAAUUAUACCUCGACCAUUGUUGCUUGUUUUUCUACUUCUCAUGAUUGUAAUCACUUUGCAGUUUGAGUGGAAACAACAACUUGUGGUUGAUGUUGAUUCAACUUCAAGCUUAUCUAUAAAGAAGAACAAAUUUCAAAGGGGUAUAAACAGUAAAGGAAAAAAGUUUUAACUUUUUUUCUAAUGCUCUUUUGUUUCCUUUACUCCAUAAUUUGUUAUUUAUCCUUGUAGGUUUGAUUAGCUGUUUUAGAAAAGGUUUUAAAUAUCACUCGUGAUCGUCAAAAUUUUGGUAAUUUCAGUCGGUAGAGAAGUUGUGACACUGAAUUAACCAUGUUCUUCGCUUUAGAUGUUGAAUUGUCGUGAGUUAUCUUCUUCCUUUUCUUUCAUUUUUAAGCUCGAUUUUUUGAUGCGGAACUGUUGUUGUGUCGGUGUUGUUAUUCGUUGUAGGUUGUGGUUUAUGAAUCGGUGAAGAAUUGUUGUUGAAUUUAUCGAUUCGCGCUAUGCACACCAAGUGUUCGGUGAAAUGUCUGAACCAUGUUUUAUUGUUUUUCUGUCUUGAAAUAUCUUGGUUGCAGGUCCGAGAUGUUGUUAUCGGGUUGCGAUUGAUUACUGUCGCACCUCUUUUUUAAGGUUGUGGAACUCUUAUCAUUUAUAUUCCUGUUUAGAUAAAUUUAUGAUCUUAAUAAUGAUUUAAGGGAGAUAAAUUGAUGAAUCAUGUGGAACUCCUAUCAAUUAUAUUUCUAUUUUGAUAAAUUGAUUAAUCAGGGAAAGAAAAGCAGUUGUUGACUAGAAAGAAGAUUCAGAUGAUAAGGCAAAUGAAUUCUCAACAAUGGAUACAGAGGAUAGUGUUACAUGUGUUUUACACGAACUCCUGCAAAAAGAGGUUAUGGCCUUGAGGAAAUUUGUUAAUGAGAAAGAUCAAAGCCUAAAAGAUAAAGAUGAUGCUAUUGAGGGAAGUAGCUAACAUGGAAAAGGAGGUAGUGCAGAAACAACAGGAGAGCAGAGCAAAGUGGUUUAACAAUAUAAAGGGCCCUGUAAACAGUGCUCAGAAUCAGCUAAUUUUUUGAAGGUAAUUAGGGCCUCCUUACCUUUCUACUUUUCUGAUUUUUCGUGGGAUGACUAAAGAAACCUCUCAUAUGUACAGAAGUGUUACAUGCGACAUGCAUCACACAAUAACAUCAAGAUUAUUAUAGUGGAUCUUUGUAUAUUUGGUUGUGUUAUUCGAACAUUCACCGCAAAAAAAAAUCAGAAAGGACAUUUGCUUGUCUCUUUUAUUUUAUUUAAUGACUAUUGCAUUCUUUAAAUUUUUGCCUAGGCUAUAUAAGUUUUCUGGCUUCGCCACUGAUGCACUUGAUUAGUCAAACUAGCAUUAGAGAUGAGAUAGGAUUAGGAAUAAUAGCAUUAAAGAGAGAGUUUGGGUAGCAAACUAGCACAUAUUGUAGAUAACAGGUUAAACAUCGAUUUAAGUGGAUUGAACACUUGUAGAGGAAAUCUAUAAACUCUAUAGAAAGGAGAAUAUAUCAUAUGCUUGGUGGCACAAUUGCUAUAGAAAGGAGAAAUGCCAUGAAAAAUCACCAACAAAACUAUUAAGAACUGCAUAAAGGACCAUAUUUUGGCUAUAUAUAUAUGAUUUAUGUUAUAAGCUAUACCAUUAUGAUGACUUUUGUUUCAUAUAGUCAACUUCACCUUAUAAAAGUUGAUUGUCGUAUAAUAUUGUGACAAUUUUAGAUGGAUUAGCCAUUUUUUCUUAAUUUCCACAGUGAACUUGUGUAUAAUAAUAAUGGAAAUGUAAAAGUGGCAAUACAAUUAAAAUGUGUAUGCUACCAAUGUAAUGAGGACAUGUGGUAAAAAUAAGUGGUCUAAAUUCAAUUUUUGUCUAAACUCAUUGCCUGAACUGACUAAUUUAGCCAUUUACUAACAAAACUUUUCAUAUAAGGGCAUUUGGUCUAGUGGUAUGAUUCUCGCUUAGGGUGCGAGAGGUCCCGAGUUCAAUUCUCGGAAUGCCCCUUUUAUGAAGAUUAGGAGUUUUAACUUUUCUAUAUUUUAGUUAAAUACCAAAAAACUGUGUUUUAUUUAUUGUUGCUGAUCUUGAAGCUGACAAGGUUGACAAAUUAAUUGAUUAGGUGAAUCAAUAAGCAUCAGGUUUUUAAGCUCUGGAAGCUGUCAUGUUUGACUUAUAUAUAAUACUGGCAGGUAACACAAAUUUUUAUUCAAAUUCUUAUGAAUAAACCCAAUUGUUAAUUCAAAUCCUUAUCAAAAGUAUAUCUCAGCAUAAUUUACAAGACUCAGAUGUAAACCAGCAUAUCAAUGACCUUGAUAUCAGUCUACAAUGCAUCAUUCAAAUAGAUUCAUAGGACAAAAGUCGAGAGCUUCAGUUCUUUGCUUUAGAAUGUUUUAAACCAAUUAAUAACUGAGUCAAUGCUGGUUGAGUUUUUAUAUGACAUCAUGAAACAAGAAACUUCUCUCUCAUUGAUGGAUUUCAGUUCACUGCACAUGUGAAACAAAACAACAUCAGUGGAUGCACAUUCUGAAGAAAUAAAAAGGAUUUUUUUUUUAAAUCAAAUGAUUAUACAACACUUUCACCUUUUCGGUUAGGUAUUGCUUAGAUAAUCUUAAUGAAAUUUAAUAAAACAGGAAGAAAAAAAAGAAUCAGGUUUAAAAUUUGUAACGUCUUGGUUGGAAAUCAAAGGAUGCAAUUGAUUCCCUCUAUGAUGCAGAUUUGACAUGCUAUUUGAUGAUGUGUCUGUUAGGAUAUAGAAUAAUGGUUAAUUAAAGUAGUUAGGUUAGGGCAGUUAAGAGUUAUUGUAGAAGUUAGUUAGUUGUUUAGUUUGUUGAGAUUUUUAUGCGAUUAUUUUUAGAAAUAGAAGAAUACAUUGUAGAGUUGAUCAUUAUUGAAUAUUAAAACCAUUUGUAAAUACAGUAGCAACUCCAUUGUGAUGGCAAAACCCCCUUGAGGAGAGAGUAUUCUCUUUUGUGAAGGGGAAGCCCUUGACGAGAGAUCCUAUCCUACUAUAUCCUAAUUCCUAAUAGGCUAAUACAAGUGUUUUCUUUGGAGUUCAAUUAUUAAGUUCCUAACAGCUGGUCCGACCUUCCGUUCGAGCAGUGCCAGUGUUGUUCGAGAUGGAGGCAUCACAAAGGGUGAACUUGCCAACUUUUGCAGGGAAAGAUCCCAUUGGGGGCUUGCAAGGGCUAAAAAGAUUUUUGAGGUGCAAGAAACUCAUGAACUUGAUCAAUUUCGCUGGGCUUUUAUGAGCAUGGAGGGAGAAGCCAUGUGUAGGUAUAGUUCUUGGUGUCAAGAGGACCUAAAUUUAAUCUUGGUGUCAUUUUCCUCAAAUCUGGUUUGAAAUUCAGAGCAAGCUAUAAUAACCGUGUUGUGAAGCAAGAAAUGCAAAAGGAGAGAAAAAACUGCAUAGGUGAAGUGGAGUAAUUGGUGAAGAUACUAGAGAAGAAACAAGAAAUGGGUAAUGAUGUAGAGCGACCACAGUAACUCAAAGCUCAAUAACACGCACCAGUAAAGAAGUUGUCAAGAUUGUGGGAUGUAUAUCUUCUUGCAAGAAAGUCGUUGGAGUUGAUGGAUGAAGAUCCUGUCGCGAGAGUCCCAAUUUAACCAAAGUCGGGGAAUCAAACAUAAGAAACAGGGAGCAGAAAGAACUGGUCACGCAGAAAUCUCCGUUGAAGCCUUGCUCUUCCACCACUGCCAAAGCUGAAAUACUGAUAAACUUGCGGCAAAAUCAGAAUCAUCGACUUGCAGUCAGCUUACACUAUUAGCGUUCAUGUGUGAAGAUUAACCUCUGUUGAAGGUGGGAUUGCAAAGUUGCCAACAGAAGCCGUUUAUGGUUGUUUUGUAUGUGGCUGCGCAGAGACAAUGGUAACUAUUGAAGCUGAUUUGGCAAGUGGUGUGACUUCUAAACUUGCCUCUGUCACACAAACUUGGGGCGGAAACACAAAAUGAGGGGCACAUGAUUGUGUGACAAUUCAAACAGUUGCGAUUUUGGACAGCAAGACGUCACCAACAACAAAACUCAAGUGUACCCAUGCAUGGGUCAGGGGCUACAUUGAAGUUCUGAGCAAGGAUGGAUCUUUUGAACAUGCGGAAAGAGCAGAAGAAUGAGUUUGCAACACAACACAAGUUCAUUUUGGGAGUCAACAUUUGGGCCUACUGAGCCAGGCCUACAUUACAGCGGAAUCACCCAAACACAACACUAUAAUAGUGGCUUUAUUCCUCUUCAAGGUGGGUUGUUCAGUCACUCCAAAAACUUAACAAGUUAACCAAGUUACAAGAAGCCUGCACGUCAAAUGAGAAUGGGUAUGUAUGUUUUCAACAGUGGGACUCGGGUUGAUAUUGUUACAUUGAAAUGGGACUCGGGUUGAUAUUGUUAUAUUGAAAGAGGGUGUUAGCUCUUAUUCCUUACUACAUUGGUGGGAUACAGGUGAUAAUAAUCUAAAUGGAAGCAUGCUGCAAGAGAGGGGCAGUACUUCAAGUUUAAUGAAUAUAUUGAAGGAAAACUGGAAGCCAAUGCAUGUUACCAAGUAUUACACAUUCAAAAAGAAUAUGAUAGAUGUCAACCAUCAGGAAAAAGUUGUUUCGAGGAGGGGUAUAUUGUUAGGGUAUAGAAUAGUAGUUAAUUAGAGCAGUUAAGAUUUGUUAUUGAAGUUAGUUAGUUGAAGUUGUUAUAUGACUAUUUGUAUAAAUAGGAGAAUAUUCUCUUUUGUGAAGGGAGAACUCUUAUUCUCUCGUAUUCUAUUUUAGUUCUUAAUAAAAGUGUUAUUUUUUUGGAAUCAAAUUUUGGGUUCCUAACGGCGUCACUCUUUUAUCCAUUUUACUUAUGGAAAAUAACAUGGCAGAAUGCAUAAAAAUUGAGUAUGCCACAAGAUUGUUCAUUUUCCCCUCUUUUAUUCUUGAGUUCCAAAGAGUAUGCUACAUCAGCAGAGAGAGGGAAAGAGGCCAAGCCAGUUUGAAUAGUUCUCACAGUCAAUGAGUAUAGCACCUUGAAGCAAGAUUGCUCAUGGGGCCUUAGUUAAAUUGAAGGAUCCUUCAUAAAUCAAAAUAGGAAAUACACAUAAAUUGUAAAUAGGACCAAGUAACAAGCUAAAGCAUUAUUUUCCUAUGUUUUUGUGGCAAUAAUUUUAUUGCUGAUCCGAUUUCAAGUUUCUCACUCCUAUAACUCAUUUCUUUAAACACUACAGCAGAAAAUAUUGUGACAAAAUAAGAUUAUUAAAGGCAGGGCUUUGACAUAUGCUAAAUUUCUCAGACAGUGAUGCAAUGAGUGUGUGCUGCAGAGGGUUUAAAUGGCAUACACAGUAGCUGCAAUACCACGGUAGUAUCUCUCUCACACGCCACAAAAUAUUGGUUCUGUUGCUUUUUUCAUAUUAAAUCCUCCAACUUCAUCGAGUAAAUGUUGAAAGAAAUAAAUCAACCACAAGCUAUUUUGCACCAAUACUUCAAAUUGAAGACUUGUAUGGUGUCCAACACAACACUGACACGUGCGGUUACAUUUAACAACUUCUAUUUUCUCAAAUUGCUACUAGUGUUGGCAUGUCAGUAUCAACACCAUGCAUGUGCCGGUGUUUCAUAGAACACAAGUUCGUGGAAUUAUCAGUGACUAAUGAAAGACAGCAUACUGUAGGAGUCUUGUCUUCAGUAAUUCCACAACUCUUUGGCAGAAUAAAAAACACUCAAGUCAGCAAUGUUAGAAAAUAGGGCUAUGUUUGAAAGUUAAUAGAUCACUGAGAAACCCAAUACUCUAACUAACUUUCAAACUUCAGUUAGUUAGUUCAUUGAUCUAAGGGGUUACUGGGUUAUUUACAAGGGAAAAUAUAUGGUAAUGAGGGUGUACAAUUAGCUCCUGUGAGCUUAAGUUUAAUGAUUGCUUCUCAGAUAGCGGAGAAACUAAUUGAGGGAUUUCAACU